GGAAAGGUACCCAAGAGGCCCAAGGGGGCUGACUCGAAAUCAGCUAGGCGGAUCAUAUCCGUGCGUGGGUUCGAAUCCCACCCUUUCCGCCA
rnacentral:tRNA from 1 species